AAAGACACUUUACUUUCCCUCAAAUACUCUCUUAGUAUAUAUACAUACUACUACCACCCAUCAAUCCAUCAUCAUGGCCCCCUGCGAGUGCAAGUGCUGCUCUGGCAGCUGCAACUCCUGCGCCUGCUCUGACUGCAAGGUAUGUACUCAUACCAUAGCA
rnacentral:sRNA from 1 species